GUAUCCUCUCAGGAUAAGGGCCAUGUAUGCUUAGGGAUAUUGAACGGUUCGGAGGCUGGAAUAGGAGAUGUUAAUUUGAUCGGAGAUAUUUCUAUGUUAGACAAACUAGUGAUUUACGACAAUGAGAAACAGCAGAUUGGAUGGGCUCCAGCAAACUGCAACAAGCUUCCAUCGUUAUCCUGAAUAUAUCAAUGAUUACUGUGAAGAUUUUGGUGACAUAUCAUAGGAAGAAGCAGGCAGAAAGUAUGUCAGUAUCGUACGCAUACCAAUGUUGUAAUACAGAAAAUUCACUGUAAUCACCCAUAGAAUUAUAUAUUGAUAUAAUAGCAGCCUUAUAUGUAUAUUCAGUUCAUCCUCAAAUCUGUCUUCCAUAUUAUAUAUCUAUCACAAAAUAAAAUGAGGAGUUGAGUCUGAACUGGCAAACUGAAGUCACUUUCGUAACUCCAUAAUUCAUUCCAGAAGUGAUUGAGCCCUAAAAAAAACUAGUAAAGAGCAUUUUACCCUUUAAAUAGACCCUCCAAUUGACCGUAUGGUUAUAUACAGGCACAAAAAAAAAA